rnacentral:lncRNA from 1 species
UUAUUAUAUCCUUGAGCAUAGUUGGUCCUUUUAAGUUUUACAAAAAAUGAGUAGCUUUAGUUUCCGUUAGAUAAGGUCUGACGCAGUCAGUAUACAGAGUUCUCACAUCAAAUGCACGUGAGCCAAAACCAAAAAAAAAUCCAGUUGCACUUUCCUCACUUCCCCCAAAAUCCCUCCCCUAAGAAUAAAAGCAGAGAAAUGCAUCCGGCUAACCAAUCCCAUGGUUACCAAUUUUGAAAUUUAAGGGAGAAAAAAACUAAGAAAACUGAGCAGGCAAAUAAUCUCUGCCUUUAUUUUCAAUUCGUUAGUUGGAUACGGAAGGAGGUGUAGCAUAUACGAGAAGACUGACAGGAUUCAUAAAGAUAGCAUAUAUCCCACAGUAUCGCCGAACUGGUUAUAUUAGCAUAUCCAUUAGUGCCGGCACAGCUCUGAGGAUACAUCAGGCCCACCAUCGCAGCAAACAGAUGCCUUAGAGAAAUAUAGUAUCCUCCUGUUUACUUGUGGAGCUUUUGUGUUCCUUCUCAUUUAAUUAACUACUCAAGUUCUACUUCAUAGUGGCAGUGAGAAUAUUCAUUAAAAUUUCUGUCUUUUUGUAUGUAGUAGUAUUAGUUUAAGUGAUUGUGCCUUUAGUCAGAAGUGAAUAAUCCCAACACAUAGUUCUGUACAAUCAUCUGGGAAAUUAUUUCAGUGCGAUUUUUUUUUCUAUUGCUGAUAUAUAUUGUUCUUAUGAUGUAGUCAAUCCUAGAUGUGAUAUAACCUAUCCUGUUGAGCAUCACUAUCAAUUUCCAACAAGUAGAAGAUGCAAUCACAACAUCUCGAGCAGCUCAAAGCUAAGCUCUUUUUAUUCUUAUUGCCUCCUCUACAUGCAGAAUUAGAUUUAAUGGCAAUAAAAACACCUAAAGGAGGCACGGAAAGAGCGUCCACACAGUGAUUGGGUAGUAGGGGAGAUGGACAGAAACUAGCUAGAAAGGCAUACACAGAGAGAGAGAGAGAGAAAGAGAGAGAGAGAGAGAGAGAGAGGAGGGAGAGGAAACAAUUACCAGCUUGGCGUAGCCUUCACUCCUUCCCGGAGAAGGUUAAACUUUGGUUGCUGAUAAAGAAGACGAGUGUUUACCCUAACCUGAAAAUCAUUACAAAAUGAAAUCUUAUUUAAGGGAAAGUAUCUUCAGCCACAAAAGCAAUUUGCUGGUGUCUAUUGAAUAUUCACCAACACAAGCGAAGAGAGAAAAGGACAGAAGGGUUCAUACAGGUCGGAGUCAAGACCUAACCACCCCCUCCCUGACCAACAGUUAGUGGCACUAGGCGUAUGCAUGUUAUGCAUUGAAACCCAACCAUUUUACCCAGUCGACAAGUUUUAAGACGAAAAUUAUCUCUCAAGCCACAUAUAAUUGGAAUAGAAUAAAGAAAAUCGAGGAAGAAACAGAAGAUACAACUCACAUGUUCAUCAGGCACUUGUGCU